GAUGAACGCUGGCGGCGUGCUUAACACAUACAAGUCGAACGAAGCACCUUGAUUUGAUUCUUCGGAUGAAGAUCUUGGUGACUGAGUGGCGGACGGGUGAGUAACGCGUGGGUAACCUGCCUCAUACAGGGGGAUAACAGUUAGAAAUGACUGCUAAUACCGCAUAAGACCACAGCACCGCAUGGUGCAGGGGUAAAAACUCCGGUGGUAUGAGAUGGACCCGCGUCUGAUUAGGUAGUUGGUGGGGUAACGGCCUACCAAGCCGACGAUCAGUAGACGACCUGAGAGGGUGACCGGCCACAUUGGGACUGAGACACGGCCCAAACUCCUACGGGAGGCAGCAGUGGGGAAUAUUGCACAAUGGGGGAAACCCUGAUGCAGCGACGCCGCGUGAGCGAUGAAGUAUUUCGGUAUGUAAAGCUCUAUCAGCAGGGAAGAAAAUGACGGUACCUGACUAAGAAGCACCGGCUAAAUACGUGCCAGCAGCCGCCGUAA
rnacentral:rRNA from 1 species